rnacentral:rRNA from 1 species
CUACGGGGGGCUCCAGUGAGGAAUAUUGCACAAUGGGGGGAACCCUGAUGCAGCAACGCCGCGUGGAGGAUGACGCAUUUCGGUGUGUAAACUCCUUUUAUAUGUCAAGAAAAUGGCGGUAGCAUAUGAAUAAGCACCGGCUAACUCCGUGCCAGCAGCCGCGGUAAUACGGAGGGUGCAAGCGUUACUCGGAAUCACUGGGCGUAAAGGACGCGUAGGCGGGUUGGAAAGUCAGGUGUGAAAUCCUACAGCUUAACUGUAGAACUGCACUUGAAACUUCUAAUCUAGAGUAUGGGAGGGGGAGAUGGAAUUGGUGGUGUAGGGGUAAAAUCCGUAGAUAUCACUAGGAAUACCUAAAGCGAAGGCGAUCUCCUGGAACAUUACUGACGCUAAGGCGUGAAAGCGUGGGGAGCAAACAGGAUUAGAUACCCCAGUAGUC